rnacentral:misc_RNA from 1 species
GUAAUAUGUAAACAAAUUCUUUGUAAGUUUUUAAUUGUAUGAUUAUUAAUGAGAAACAUAUGGAAAAUUACGAGUGAUUUUAAUCUAACUAGUUUUCAAAAAAAGUUUUAUUUUUAUAAUUCUACACAAAUUAGAAAUUUUACAUAUCAAUGCCUUGGAUUUGGAUGCUCAUAUACAUAUUUCUAGUUGAUACGAUAUUGAACAUGAAAGUUAUAGGACAAGGGUCCAAAUAAAAUAUUAGGUGAUGGGUAGGCUAGGCUACGUUACUUUAAAAAUAUGGGCAAGGAGUCGAGGAUUUAAUACCUAUGUUUUAAUUUCUAUUUUUCUUCGUGUUUUCGUCGUUUCUGCUCUGUGGAAUCCAAAUCCAGCGAAAAGGUUCUCAUUAGAAAAAGAUUUAUAAUCGGCAGACUAAAUUGUUGUUAAAAGUACAUUUUCAUUGAAAUACAGUGAAAAAAAGGAAAUAGUUUAAAUUGUAUAGUACGAAAGGUUAGGUUUUUUUUUGCAAUAAAGAAGUAAUAA